ensembl:lncRNA
GUCACAGAAGACAGCAGAGAAACUGGAGACAAAGGAGCAUAUAAUUGGUGCAAGGAUACCAGACCGUCAAUCCCAAAUGCAGACUUUGUAGAUACUGAGUCCAUGCAUGAAUGGAUCUUUGAUUUAUGACAAGUUAACCAGUCUCUCCAUACACUGACAGCAGUAAAUUCAUGAGGAUAAAUGAGAAAGGAAUCCCUGCCUCACACCACACACACACAAUCAAUUGUAGGAGUCUUAAGACCCAAAGUGGCUCAGAUGAUAACCUGCCUACAGUGCAUGAGACCCAGGUUCGAUCCCUGGGUCAGGAAGAUCCCCUGGAGAAGGGAAGGGCUACCCAUUCAAGUAUUCUUGCCUAGGAAAUCCCAUUUCCAGAGACAUUUCCUCUCUCUUGGCUCCCAAAACAGAGCCUGGCGAGCUACAGUCCAUGGGUUGCAAAGCACUGGACCUGACUGAGCAACUAACAUUUUCACUAAGACCUAAACAUGGAAGAUGAUACUGCAUAUCAGUGUGCCACUGAUGGAGACCAAAAAAAAAAAGGAAAACACUGGUUGACCACAACAGAUAAGGAGAGGCACUGAAAUAGACAGGAAAAUCAGGAAAUUCUACUUCCAAAGAACAUGAGUGGGAAAAGAAAUGUUUGCAACACUUUAAUGGUAAUUAAAGUUUUAUCCCCAAAAGGGAUAAAAUGAUAAAUUCAAACAAAUUAAGAAAAAUUAACCAAAAAAUUCAAAAAAUAAAAAAGGGCACUCUGCAAGUAUUCCUAAUGCCUAAUAAACAUGAGUAGGGCUCAGUUUCUCUCUCAUCAAGGAAUCAGUAUGAAAAAUCACAGAGAAGUCGCCAGACAGCAGAUGGGCAAACAUCACAAAGGCUCACAUCCUAAAUGUCCCUGGGGAUCAGCAGGAGCUCUGGGCGAUCGAGGCCGGUCAAGUGUCCCCUGGGAAGUUCCUGCGGGUGGCACCCACCAAAGCCAAGCACACACCGGGAGCAGCAAUUCCAUGGCUGGCUUAGGAACCAGCUGAACUGCCCGAGUGUGCCCUAAAUAAAGUGGCGGGAACACUCAGAGCAGCGCGACCCCCGAGGGCCGCUUCUCGGCGAAC